UGGGUGUUUACCUGCUGUAGAGGUUAGGACAUUAUCUCUUCAUUAGAAUAUCUACCUGCUGUAGAGGUUAGGACAUUAUCUCUUCAUUAGAAUAUCUACCUGCUGUAGAGGUUAGGACAUUAUCUCUUCAUUAGAAUAUCUACCUGCUGUAGAGGUUAGGACAUUAUCUCUUCAUUAGAAUAUCUACCUGCUGUAGAGGUUAGGACAUUAUCUCUUCAUUAGAAUAUCUACCUGCUGUAGAGGUUAGGACAUUAUCUCUUCAUUAGAAUAUCUACCUGCUGUAGAGGUUAGGACAUUAUCUCUUCAUUAGAAUAUCUACCUGCUGUAGCGGUUAGGACAUUAUCUCUUCAUUAGAACAUCUACCUGCUGUAGAGGUUAGGACAUUAUCUCUUCAUUAGAAUAUCUACCCGCUGUAGAGGUUAGGAUAUCUCUUCAUUAGAAUAUCUACCCGCUGUAGAGGUUAGGACAUUAUCUCUUCAUUAGAAUAUCUACCUGCUGUAGAGGUUAGGACAUUAUCUCUUCAUUAGAAUAUCUACCUGCUGUAGAGGUUAGGACAUUAUCUCUUCAUUAGAAUAUCUACCUGCUGUAGAGGUUAGGACAUUAUCUCUUCAUUAGAAUAUCUACCUGCUGUAGAGGUUAGGACAUUAUCUCUUCAUUAGAAUAUCUACCUGCUGUAGAGGUUAGGACAUUAUCUCUUCAUUAGAAUAUCUACCUGCUGUAGAGGUUAGGACAUUAUCUCUUCAUUAGAAUAUCUACCUGCUGUAGAGGUUAGGACAUUAUCUCUUCAUUAGAAUAUCUACCUGCUGUAGAGGUUAGGACAUUAUCUCUUCAUUAGAAUAUCUACCUGCUGUAGAGGUUAGGACAUUAUCUCUUCAUUAGAAUAUCUACCUGCUGUAGAGGUUAGGACAUUAUCUCUUCAUUAGAAUAUCUACCUGCUGUAGAGGUUAGGACAUUAUCUCUUCAUUAGAAUAUCUACCCGUUGUAGAGGUUAGGACAUUAUCUCUUCAUUAGAAUAUCUACCUGUUGUAGAGGUUAGGACAUUAUCUCUUCAUUA